rnacentral:rRNA from 1 species
CGGACGGGUGAGUAACGCGUGGGAAUCUACCCUUUAGUUGGGGACAACAUAUGGAAACGUAUGCUAAUACCGAAUAUGCUCUACGGAGUAAAGGUGGCCUCUACUUGUAAGCUAUCGCUAAAGGAUGAGCCCGCGUUAGAUUAGCUAGUUGGUAAGGUAAAGGCUUACCAAGGCGACGAUCUAUAGCUGGUUUGAGAGGAUGAUCAGCCACACUGGGACUGAGACACGGCCCAGACUCCUACGGGAGGCAGCAGUGGGGAAUAUUGCACAAUGAGGGAAACCUUGAUGCAGCCAUGCCGCGUGUGUGAAGAAGGCCCGAGGGUUGUAAAGCACUUUCAAUUGUGAGGAAGAUUAAGUAGCUAAUACCUGCUUAGUUUGACGUUAACUUUAGAAGAAGCACCGGCUAACUCUGUGCCAGCAGCCGCGGUAAUACAGAGGGUGCAAGCGUUAUUCGGAAUUACUGGGCGUAAAGCGCGCGUACGCGGACUGUUAAGUCGGUUGUGAAAGCCCUGGGCUCAACCUANGAACUGCAUCCGAUACUGGCAAUCUAGAGUUUAA